rnacentral:lncRNA from 1 species
AUAACUAAACUCAGCCAAAAUUUUAUUAAUAUAUGCAAGCAUAAAUUUUUUUUUGUAAAACAGUUUUAAAAAAUUAUUUCAGAAAAAUCAUUUUUACCUAAACUCAGCCAAACACCCUACAGUUUUUCACCAAAAUUAAUUUUUCAAAUCAAAAGUAUUUCUGCAGAAAUCACUUUUCCAAAAAUUAGGCCUAACAGGUCUACAGAGGAGUUCAUAUGGAACUGCUCUUGCGGAUAUCAUUAAUUAUUACCCUUUUCAUAUAAGCACAUGUUCAGCUGUCCUUAAUGCAACAAUGAUAGGUUUACAACCCAAGUUCAUGCAAAUUACGAACACCUAAGGGCUGUUUGGUUCUAUGUAAAACUGUAAAAAAGUAUUAUUAAAAAAAUUUCGGGAGAAAAUAAAUUUUAUAUUCUUUACUAUUUGGUUUAUAGGAAAGAAAAAAGUUUUCCAUCAUGAUGAUUUGGUUGAAAGAAAAAAAAAAGUUUAUUAUUAUUAUAGUUUAUAUUUAUAAACAAAUAUAUUUAAAACAUAUUAUACAAUAAAUAUGUAAUAUCAUAUAUAAUAAUAUAUAUUUAAUACUACAAAAUAAAUUACUAUAUAUUUAUAAAUAAUAUUUAUAUAUAAAUAUUACAUAAUAAUAUAUUUCUAUAAAAAAUAAAAUAAUAUAUAUUUUAUAUAUAUAAUGGAAGAGGG